AUUGAACGCUGGCGGCAGGCCUAACACAUGCAAGUCGAGCGGAUGAAGGGAGCUUGCUCCUGGAUUCAGCGGCGGACGGGUGAGUAAUGCCUAGGAAUCUGCCUGGUAGUGGGGGAUAACGUCCGGAAACGGGCGCUAAUACCGCAUACGUCCUGAGGGAGAAAGUGGGUGAUCUUCGGACCUCACGCUAUCAGAUGAGCCUAGGUCGGAUUAGCUAGUUGGUGGGGUAAAGGCCUACCAAGGCGACGAUCCGUAACUGGUCUGAGAGGAUGAUCAGUCACACUGGAACUGAGACACGGUCCAGACUCCUACGGGAGGAAGCAGUGGGGAAUAUUGGACAAUGGGCGAAAGCCUGAUCCAGCCAUGCAGCGUGUGUGAAGAAGGUAUUCGGAUUGUAAAGCACUUUAAGUUGGGAGGAAGGGCAGUAAGUUAAUAACUUGCUGUUUUGACGUUACCAACAGAAUAAGCACCGGCUAACUUCGUG
rnacentral:rRNA from 1 species